rnacentral:rRNA from 1 species
AUUGAACGCUGGCGGCAGGCUUAACACAUGCAAGUCGAGCGGGGGAAGGUAGCUUGCUACCGGACCUAGCGGCGGACGGGUGAGUAAUGCUUAGGAAUCUGCCUAUUAGUGGGGGACAACAUCUCGAAAGGGAUGCUAAUACCGCAUACGUCCUACGGGAGAAAGCAGGGGAUCUUCGGACCUUGCGCUAAUAGAUGAGCCUAAGUCGGAUUAGCUAGUUGGUGGGGUAAAGGCCUACCAAGGCGACGAUCUGUAGCGGGUCUGAGAGGAUGAUCCGACACACUGGGACUGAGACACGGCCCAGGCUCCUACGGGAGGUAGCAGUGGGGAAUAUUGGACAAUGGGGGGAACCCUGAUCCAGCCAUGCCGCGUGUGUGAAGAAGGCCUUAUGGUUGUAAAGCACUUUAAGCGAGGAGGAGGCUACUUUAGUUAAUACCUAGAGAUAGUGGACGUUACUCGCAGAAUAAGCACCGGCUAACUCUGUGCCAGCAGCCGCCGUAA